UACGAAGGGGGCUAGCGUUGCUCGGAAUCACUGGGCGUAAAGCGCACGUAGGCGGAUUGCUAAGUCAGGGGUGAAAUCCUGGAGCUCAACUCCAGAACUGCCUUUGAUACUGGCGACCUUGAGUCCGGGAGAGGUGAGUGGAACUGCGAGUUUAGAGGUGAAAUUCGUAGAUAUUCGCAAGAACACCAGUGGCGAAGGCGGCUCACUGGCCCGGUACUGACGCUGAGAUACGAAAGCGUGGGGAGCAAACAGG
rnacentral:rRNA from 1 species